rnacentral:rRNA from 1 species
UACGUAGGGGGCUAGCGUUGUCCGGAAUUAUUGGGCGUAAAGAGCUCGUAGGCGGUCUGUUACGUCUGCUGUGAAAACCCGGGGCUUAACCCUGGGCUUGCGGUGGAUACGGGCAGGCUGGAGGCUGGUAGGGGCAAGCGGAAUUCCUGGUGUAGCGGUGAAAUGCGCAGAUAUCAGGAGGAACACCGGUGGCGAAGGCGGCUUGCUGGGCCAGUUCUGACGCUGAGGAGCGAAAGCGUGGGGAGCGAACAGG